UAGUGAGUUUGAUCCUGGCUCAGAUUGAACGCUGGCGGCAUGCUUUACACAUGCAAGUCGAACGGCAGCGCGGGGCAACCUGGCGGCGAGUGGCGAACGGGUGAGUAAUAUAUCGGAACGUACCCAGAAGUGGGGGAUAACGUAGCGAAAGUUACGCUAAUACCGCAUACGAUCUACGGAUGAAAGUGGGGGACCUUCGGGCCUCAUGCUUUUGGAGCGGCCGAUAUCUGAUUAGCUAGUUGGUGAGGUAAAGGCUCACCAAGGCGACGAUCAGUAGCUGGUCUGAGAGGACGACCAGCCACACUGGAACUGACGACACGGUCCAGACU
rnacentral:rRNA from 1 species